GAUGAACGCUGGCGGCGUGCCUAAUACAUGCAAGUCGAGCGAACAGACGAGGAGCUUGCUCCUCUGACGUUAGCGGCGGAUGGGUGAGUAACACGUGGAUAACCUACCUAUAAGACUGGGAUAACUUCGGGAAACCGGAGCUAAUACCGGAUAAUAUAUUGAACCGCAUGGUUCAAUAGUGAAAGACGGUUUUGCUGUCACUUAUAGAUGGAUCCGCGCCGCAUUAGCUAGUUGGUAAGGUAACGGCUUACCAAGGCGACGAUGCGUAGCCGACCUGAGAGGGUGAUCGGCCACACUGGAACUGAGACACGGUCCAGACUCCUACGGGAGGCAGCAGUAGGGAAUCUUCCGCAAUGGGCGAAAGCCUGACGGAGCAACGCCGCGUGAGUGAUGAAGGUCUUCGGAUCGUAAAACUCUGUUAUUAGGGAAGAACAAAUGUGUAAGUAACUAUGCACGUCUUGACGGUACCUAAUCAGAAAGCCACGGCUAACUACGUG
rnacentral:rRNA from 1 species